rnacentral:rRNA from 1 species
GAGAGUUUGAUCCUGGCUCAGGAUGAACGCUAGCGACAGGCUUAACACAUGCAAGUCGAGGGGCAGCGGGGUGUAGCAAUACACCGCCGGCGACCGGCGCACGGGUGAGUAACGCGUAUGCAACUUGCCUAUCAGAGGGGGAUAACCCGGCGAAAGUCGGACUAAUACCGCAUGAAGCAGGGGCCCCGCAUGGGGAUAUUUGCUAAAGAUUCAUCGCUGAUAGAUAGGCAUGCGUUCCAUUAGGCAGUUGGCGGGGUAACGGCCCACCAAACCGACGAUGGAUAGGGGUUCUGAGAGGAAGGUCCCCCACAUUGGUACUGAGACACGGACCAAACUCCUACGGGAGGCAGCAGUGAGGAAUAUUGGUCAAUGGGCGCGAGCCUGAACCAGCCAAGUCGCGUGAGGGAUGAAGGUUCUAUGGAUCGUAAACCUCUUUUAUAAGGGAAUAAAGUGCGGGACGUGUCCCGUUUUGUAUGUACCUUAUGAAUAAGGAUCGGCUAACUCCGUGCCAGCAGCCGCGGUAAUACGGAGGAUCCGAGCGUUAUCCGGAUUUAUUGGGUUUAAAGGGUGCGUAGGCGGCCUUUUAAGUCAGCGGUGAAAGUCUGUGGCUCAACCAUAGAAUUGCCGUUGAAACUGGGGGGCUUGAGUAUGUUUGAGGCAGGCGGAAUGCGUGGUGUAGCGGUGAAAUGCUUAGAUAUCACGCAGAACCCCGAUUGCGAAGGCAGCCUGCCAAGCCAUGACUGACGCUGAUGCACGAAAGCGUGGGGAUCAAACAGGAUUAGAUACCCUGGUAGUCCACGCAGUAAACGAUGAUCACUAGCUGUUUGCGAUACAGUGUAAGCGGCACAGCGAAAGCGUUAAGUGAUCCACCUGGGGAGUACGCCGGCAACGGUGAAACUCAAAGGAAUUGACGGGGGCCCGCACAAGCGGAGGAACAUGUGGUUUAAUUCGAUGAUACGCGAGGAACCUUACCCGGGUUUGAACGCAUUCGGACCGAGGUGGAAACACCUUUUCUAGCAAUAGCCGUUUGCGAGGUGCUGCAUGGUUGUCGUCAGCUCGUGCCGUGAGGUGUCGGCUUAAGUGCCAUAACGAGCGCAACCCUUGCCACUAGUUACUAACAGGUGAUGCUGAGGACUCUGGUGGGACUGCCAGCGUAAGCUGCGAGGAAGGCGGGGAUGACGUCAAAUCAGCACGGCCCUUACAUCCGGGGCGACACACGUGUUACAAUGGCGUGGACAAAGGGAGGCCACCUGGCGACAGGGAGCGAAUCCCCAAACCACGUCUCAGUUCGGAUCGGAGUCUGCAACCCGACUCCGUGAAGCUGGAUUCGCUAGUAAUCGCGCAUCAGCCAUGGCGCGGUGAAUACGUUCCCGGGCCUUGUACACACCGCCCGUCAAGCCAUGGGAGCCGGGGGUACCUGAAGUCCGUAACCGCGAGGAUCGGCCUAGGGUAAAACUGGUGACUGGGGCUAAGUCGUAACAAGGUAGCCG